rnacentral:rRNA from 1 species
AACGAACGCUGGCGGCAGGCCUAACACAUGCAAGUCGAACGCCCUAGCAAUAGGGAGUGGCAGACGGGUGAGUAACGCGUGGGAACCUUCCCUGUGGUGCGGAAUAACUCGCCGAAAGGCGUGCUAAUACCGCAUAAGCCCGCAAGGGGAAAGAUUUAUCGCCAUAGGAUGGGCCCGCGUAGGAUUAGCUAGUUGGUGAGGUAAUGGCUCACCAAGGCGACGAUCCUUAGCUGGUUUGAGAGAAUGACCAGCCACACUGGGACUGAGACACGGCCCAGACUCCUACGGGAGGCAGCAGUGGGGAAUCUUGGACAAUGGGCGCAAGCCUGAUCCAGCCAUGCCGCGUGAGUGACGAA